UACGUAGGGUGCAAGCGUUGUCCGGAAUUAUUGGGCGUAAAGAGCUCGUAGGCGGUUCGUCGCGUCGGCUGUGAAAACCUGAGGCUCAACCUCAGGCCUGCAGUCGAUACGGGCGGACUUGAGUACUGCAGGGGAGACUGGAAUUCCUGGUGUAGCGGUGAAAUGCGCAGAUAUCAGGAAGAACACCCGUGGCGAAGGCGGCUCUCUGGAACGCAACUGACGCUGAGACGCGAAAGCGUGGGGAGCAAACAGG
rnacentral:rRNA from 1 species